rnacentral:lncRNA from 1 species
AAACAGAGAACUUACCUCGCACUCUAGAACACCCAACUCAAUGGAAGCCGAGCGACACCGCGAGCUCUCAACCCAACAGCGAAUCUCGGGCUUCACCACCCCACCCACCGCACAAGCCUCGCCGAUAACCACGAACCACCACCCCACUCGACACCUACAGCGACGCGACGAAUCGUAGGCACACAAUGAAACCAAAUUUCUCAACAGUUCUCAGCACAGGGGAGGAAGGGUUUCUGUUUGAGCAAAUUGGAGACGACCUGCACGAAUACCCUCAAUCGCUGAGUUUAAUUGGUCGAGACCCUUACCGAAGGACACAGAGCCCUCGCUAAGGUCUUCUUGACCGUCGGUAACAUUAUUUCAUGUUGCCCUUCGGAAAGUGAUUUUUUGGCCCUCGGUAAGGAACUUUUACCGACGGCCCCUUGGCCUUCGGAAAAAUACCUUCGGUAUUUAACACUU